rnacentral:rRNA from 1 species
UGGGGAAUAUUGCACAAUGGGCGCAAGCCUGAUGCAGCCAUGCCGCGUGUAUGAAGAAGGCCUUCGGGUUGUAAAGUACUUUCAGCGGGGAGGAAGGGAGUAAAGUUAAUACCUUUGCUCAUUGACGUUACCCGCAGAAGAAGCACCGGCUAACUCCGUGCCAGCAGCCGCGGUAAUACGGAGGGUGCAAGCGUUAAUCGGAAUUACUGGGCGUAAAGCGCACGCAGGCGGUUUGUUAAGUCAGAUGUGAAAUCCCCGGGCUCAACCUGGGAACUGCAUCUGAUACUGGCAAGCUUGAGUCUCGUAGAGGGGGGUAGAAAUCCAGGUGUAGCGGUGAAAUGCGUAGAGAUCUGGAAGAAUACCGGUGGCGAAGGCGGCCCCCUGGACGAAGACUGACGCUCAGGUGCGAAAGCGUGGGGAGCAAAAAGG